GGACUCAGGAACUGUCCACAUCCUGUCACCAUUUUUACCCCAUUAGCAUCUCACAUAACUUAACUGCAAACAAUUUAAAUUAUAACAAAAAAAAAGAAAAAACGGAGGUAGAAAUUUUUUUUAUUUUUUUAUUUUCUGAGAAAUCAUUCUAAGAGUGAAAUUUAUCCAUGUAAAAUUAAAUGCGCUAAAAGCUGAAAAAUGAAUUGAAUGCUAAACAAAUACUCUCUGAGUUCUUUUUUUUUGUUUUUUUUCCCUGCCAACUGAUUUAGUUGCAAGCUAUGAAAUGACCAAUUCAACAAUUUUAUCAAGAACUUGCAGUCACAUCUGCAAUAUAUAUAGAAUCAAAAUUAUGGCACGUGAUUGAAUCAGAGGAAACCACCAC
rnacentral:misc_RNA from 1 species